rnacentral:rRNA from 1 species
UACGAAGGGGGCUAGCGUUGCUCGGAAUUACUGGGCGUAAAGGGCGCGUAGGCGGCACUGUUAGUCAGGCGUGAAAUUCCUGGGCUCAACCUGGGGACUGCGCUUGAUAUGGCAGAGCUAGAGGAUGGAAGAGGCUCGCGGAAUUCCCAGUGUAGAGGUGAAAUUCGUAGAUAUUGGGAAGAACACCGGUGGCGAAGGCGGCGAGCUGGUCCAUUACUGACGCUGAGGCGCGACAGCGUGGGGAGCAAACAGG